GCCUUCGGGCAUUUGGUCAAUUUGAAACGAUACAGAGAAGAUGUAAGUUUAUCUCCGAAGUACCAAGUUCGAAUCACGAAGCAGUCACUGACUUCUUCACAGUAGCAUGGCCCCUGCACUAAGGAUGACACGCUCAAUCAAAGAGAAGCUACCAAUUUUU
rnacentral:snRNA from 1 species